rnacentral:rRNA from 1 species
CAGCCGCCGCGGUAAAACGGAGGGGGCUAGCGUUGUUCGGAAUUACUGGGCGUAAAGCGCACGUAGGCGGCUUGGUAAGUUAGAGGUGAAAGCCCGGAGCUCAACUCCGGAAUUGCCUUUAAGACUGCCGAGCUAGUAGGUGAGAGAGGUAAGUGGAAUUCCGAGUGUAGAGGUGAAAUGCGUAGAGAUCGGGAGGAACAUCAGUGGCGAAGGCGGUCAUCUGGGACAACACUGACGCUGAGGCACGAAAGCGUGGGGAGCAAACAGGAUUAGAUACCCCGGUAGUCCCUGUCUCUUAUAC